GGAUGUAGCUCAAUGGCAGAGUGCAUGCUUGGUAUACAUGAAGUCCUGGGUUCCAUCCCCAGCACCA
rfam:Ictidomys tridecemlineatus contig031477, whole genome shotgun sequence.